rfam:Oryza sativa Japonica Group DNA, chromosome 5, cultivar: Nipponbare, complete sequence.
AAUAAAUGCAGUUUUUACGCUAUUCACGUUCAACGUUUGACCGUUUGUCUUAUUUGAAAAUUUUUUAUGAUUAGUAUUUUUAUUGCUAUUAGAUGAUAAGACAUGAAUAGUACUUUAUGUGUGACUAAAUAUUUUCAAUUUUUUCACAAAUUUUUCAAAUAAGAUGGACGGUCAAACGUUGGGCACGGAUAUUCACGGCUGCACUUAUU